CAGUCGCCGCGGUAAUACGGAGGGUGCAAGCGUUAAUCGGAAUUACUGGGCGUAAAGCGCGCGUAGGUGGUUUGUUAAGUUGGAUGUGAAAGCCCCGGGCUCAACCUGGGAACUGCAUCCAAAACUGGCAAGCUAGAGUACGGUAGAGGGUGGUGGAAUUUCCUGUGUAGCGGUGAAAUGCGUAGAUAUAGGAAGGAACACCAGUGGCGAAGGCGACCACCUGGACUGAUACUGACACUGAGGUGCGAAAGCGUGGGGAGCAAACAGGAUUAGAUACCCCGGUAGUCCCUGUCUCUUAUAA
rnacentral:rRNA from 1 species